GGGCCGAUAGAUCAGCGGAAGAUCGCUUCCUUGGCAUGGAAGAGGCCGCGGGUUCAAUUCCCGCUCGGUCCA
rnacentral:tRNA from 5 species